UAGCUUAGUGGUUAAAGUAUCAGGCUUGUGAACUGCAGGUCAUGAGUUCGAAUUCUCCU
rnacentral:tRNA from 1 species